GAGUGGCAGACGGGUGAGUAACGCGUGGGAACCUACCUAUCGGUACGGAAUAACCCGGGGAAACCCGAGCUAAUACCGCAUACGCCCUGGUUUUAGGAUCGGGGGAAAGAUUCAUCGCCGAUGGAUGGGCCCGCGUCGGAUUAGCUUGUUGGUGUGGUAACGGCGCACCAAGGCGACGAUCCGUAGCUGGUCUGAGAGGAUGAUCAGCCACACUGGGACUGAGACACGGCCCAGACUCCUACGGGAGGCAGCAGUGGGGAAUAUUGGACAAUGGGGGCAACCCUGAUCCAGCCAUGCCGCGUGAGUGAAGAAGGCCUUAGGGUUGUAAAUCUCUUUCGGCGGGGAAGAUAAUGACGGUACCCGCAGAAGAAGCCCCGGCUAACUCCGUGCCAGCAGCCGCGGUAAUACGGAGGGGGCUAGCGUUGUUCGGAAUUACUGGGCGUAAAGGGCACGUAGGCUGGCUGUUAAGUCGGGGGUGAAACCCUGAGGCUCAACCUCAGAAUUGCCUCCGAUACUGGCGGUCUCGAGUGCGGGAGAGGUGAGUGGAAUUCCCAGUGUAGAGGUGAAAUUCGUAGAUAUUGGGAAGAACACCAGUGGCGAAGGCGGCUCACUGGCCCGCAACUGACGCUGAGGUGCGAAAGCGUGGGGAGCAAACAG
rnacentral:rRNA from 1 species